rnacentral:rRNA from 1 species
GAUGAACGCUGGCGGCGUGCUUAACACAUGCAAGUCGAACGAAGCACUUUAUUUGAUUUCCUUCGGGACUGAUUAUUUUGUGACUGAGUGGCGGACGGGUGAGUAACGCGUGGGUAACCUGCCUUGUACAGGGGGAUAACAGUUGGAAACGGCUGCUAAUACCGCAUAAGCGCACAGCAUCGCAUGAUGCAGUGUGAAAAACUCCGGUGGUAUAAGAUGGACCCGCGUUGGAUUAGCUAGUUGGUGAGGUAACGGCCCACCAAGGCGACGAUCCAUAGUCGACCUGAGAGGGUGGCCCGCCACAUUGGGGCUGAGACACGGCCCAAACUCCUACGGGAGGCAGCAGUGGGGAAUAUUGCACAAUGGGCGAAAGCCUGAUGCAGCGACGCCGCGUGAGCGAAGAAGUAUUUCGGUAUGUAAAGCUCUAUCAGCAGGGAAGAUAAUGACGGUACCUGACUAAGAAGCACCGGCUAAAUACGUG